AGAUUGAACGCUGGCGGCAUGCCUAACACAUGCAAGUCGAACGGGAGUAGCAAUACUCUAGUGGCGGACGGGUGAGGAAUACGUAGGAAUUUGCCCUUAAGUGGGGGAUAACCCGGGGAAACCCGGAUUAAUACCGCAUGACCUCGAAAGAGCAAAGUGGGGGAUCGCAAGACCUCACGCUUUUGGAGAAGCCUACGUCGGAUUAGCUGGUUGGUGAGGUAAUGGCUCACCAAGGCGACGAUCCGUAACUGGUCUGAGAGGAUGAUCAGUCACACCGGAACUGAGACACGGUCCGGACUCCUACGGGAGGCAGCAGUGGGGAAUAUUGGACAAUGGGCGCAAGCCUGAUCCAGCAAUGCCGCGUGUGUGAAGAAGGCCUUCGGGUUGUAAAGCACUUUAA
rnacentral:rRNA from 1 species